rnacentral:lncRNA from 1 species
GCUAUCGAACUAUAUGUUCCAAUAUCGGCAUUCGGUCAGACAGCAAACAUCAGUCCACGCAUAUUCGCAUACAGAUCAAUUGAACAUUUCAAAAUGGUAAUAUCUUUAUUGGUCUGACACUAGAUGUGUGCAUUGACAAAUUUACAAACUCGGCAUGAGUCCACCAUCUUUUAUACAUCUGAACUUGCAUGUUUGUAGAACAAGUGAUAUCUUCUUGUGCAUCCAAAGUGCUGUGGUAGUAUAGAAUAUCAAACUUGCCAAUACAAGAUUUAUGAUAUAGAGGUAAAUAAUUCUACUUAAUUUUUUCAUAUAAAAGAUUCAAGAAUAACCUGCACCAAACCAGCCGAGUGCUACCUCUGCUGUCUCCUUACUUCGACAGAAUCAUAUUAUCAAGUUGUCUUCUUCAACAUGCAUGCUACUCAUAUCUGAAAAACGUAUUGUGUAGUAUCAAAAGCAGAGAUAAAGAUCAAUACUUGUAUAAACUGUUUGUCAAAAUUCACGCCAUUGUUAAUUAAGUGUUUCUGAUCAUCUUUCGUGAAUCUACUGAAUUCUGCAAUCGGUUUGUUUUUUCCAAAGAGAGGUUGUGGACUCCUCUUGACAAACUAGCGAAGGACCCAAGGCAAGCCACAGGAAGAUUG